rnacentral:rRNA from 1 species
UUGGAGGGCAAGUCUGGUGCCAGCAGCCGCGGUAAUUCCAGCUCCAAUAGCGUAUAUUAAAGUUGUUGCAGUUAAAAAGCUCGUAGUUGAAUUUCGGGAUCGAUACUUCGGUCGUGCCAUUGGUACGUACUGUGGUCAUCGAUUUCUCCCUUCUGACGAACCAUGAUGUCAUUAAUUUGGUGUUAUGGGAAAUCAGGACUGUUACUUUGAAAAAAUUAGAGUGUUUAAAGCAGGCAUUAGCUUGAAUACAUUAGCAUGGAAUAAUGAAAUAGGACGUUCGAACCUAUUUUGUUGGUUUUUAGGAUCAACGUAAUGAUUAAUAGGGAUAGUUGGGGGCAUUAGUAUUCAAUUGUCAGAGGUGAAAUUCUUGGAUUUAUUGAAGACUAACUACUGCGAAAGCAUUUGCCAAGGAUGUUUUCAUUAAUCAAGAACGAAAGUUAGGGGAUCGAAGACGAUCAGAUACCGUCGUAGUCUUAACCAUAAACUAUGCCGACUAGGGAUCGGAUGAUGUUAAUUUUUUAAUGACUCAUUCGGCGCCUUACGGGAAAC